AGUAACGCGUGAGGAACCUGCCUCAAAGAGGGGGACAACAGUUGGAAACGACUGCUAAUACCGCAUAAGCCCACGGCUCGGCAUCGAGCAGAGGGAAAAGGAGUGAUCCGCUUUGAGAUGGCCUCGCGUCCGAUUAGCUAGUUGGUGAGGUAACGGCCCACCAAGGCAACGAUCGGUAGCCGGACUGAGAGGUUGAACGGCCACAUUGGGACUGAGACACGGCCCAG
rnacentral:rRNA from 1 species